rnacentral:rRNA from 1 species
CCUACGGGUGGCAGCAGUGGGGAAUUUUGCACAAUGGGCGAAAGCCUGAUCCAGCGACGCCGCGUGAGUGAAGAAGCACUUCGGGAUGUAAAGCUCUAUCAGCAGUGAAGAAAAUUACGGUACCCCACAACGAAGCCCCCGCUAAACACCUGCCAGGCACCGCGGUAAUACGGAGGGGGCAAGCGUUGUUCGGAUGUACUGGGGGGAAAGGGAUCGUAGGGGGCAUUUCAAGUCUGAUGUGAAAGGUCGGAGCUCAACCUCUGUGCGGCAGUGGAAACUGGUAAGCUGGAAUGUUGGAGAGGUAAAGGGAAUUGCUGGUGUAGCGGUGAAAUGCGUAGAUAUAAGGAGGAACACCGGUGGCGAAAGCGCUCUACUGGGCCGCAACUGACACUGAGGAACGAAAGCAGGGGGAGCAAACGGGAUUAGAUACCCCAGUAGUC